rnacentral:lncRNA from 1 species
GAAUGAAAUAAGUCCAACAACCAAGUCCAUGAGCUACACCCGGCCCAAUUGUAUUCCUUAUGGAUGGCUUGAAUCUUGGCCCGCUUACCCCUUUAGUGGCCCAACUUAAAGCCUAACCCUAGAGUAUAUAUAUGAAUAUAACCCUAGCCUCUUUGUGAUGAUGAUUGUGUGAUUUUGAGAGAAGAAACUAGUGAAUCCCGGCUGCCCUCCUUUUGUGUGAGAAAAAGGUGUCCAGAAGUGUCCAAAACGCUUGUAUAACGUGUGCAAUUGGUAGUUCUUUCAUAGUAUACCUUUGUGGUGUCUUCUCCUAGCCUUUGUGGCGAUAAAUCAUCAUCCCUUCUUGUCCUACGUGGGUAAGAUUGUAUAGCAACCAAGGUGAAUCAAUUUGGUUGUGGUUUGGAGCCGUGUGGAUUGGUUGUUGGUAGAGAAAGGUACGUUGGACUGAGCCUGGAAAAUCACCGUUUGAAGAUCCUUUUGAGAGUGCUUCCGCAACAAUUGGUAUCAGAGCUUCAAGGUGAAGGUUUUGGCUCGAGAAAUCUACCAGAAAUCGUCCAAAAAAAUCGGCAGAAACGAGGCAGAAAUCAGAUCGAAAAUCUGUCCAGAAAACUGGUAAAAAUCAGCCACUGUUUUGGUGUUUUCUGACCAAUCCAGAAGGAGUUUGGUGAAAAGGAGGCCGGAUUCGUGAUCUGCAGGUGGAGGCGGUGCUGUGUGCUCGGCGCGUGUGGGAGACGGACGCCGACGGCGGCGGCGCGUGGCUUCUCCGGCGUUGCUCGUGUGGGCGCGUGCGGAAGUUUCUGGGGAAGUUUCCUUCAGACAGUUUGUUCCUUGUAUUAUUUCUAACAUUUUUCGUGUUGGAAGUUUUCUGUUUCAGGGUACGCAGAAGAAUCUGGACAGCGUUGUUCUUCGGACGUUCGGGACUCGAUUGUGAUUUUUUGGUUGCUGCAGUUUCCAGAGACUUUAGGACAAAUAGUGGUGGUCCUAAAGUGAUAAAUUCGCAACUCUCAUAAUUUACGGACUCAGAUAGUCCGCUCUGGUAUAUUGGCUUAACUUANNNNNNNNNNNNNNNNNNNNNNNNNNNNNNNNNNNNNNNNNNNNNNNNNNNNNNNNNNNNNNNNNNNNNNNNNNNNNNNNNNNNNNNNNNNNNNNNNNNNNNNNNNNNNNNNNNNNNNNNNNNNNNNNNNNNNNNNNNNNNNCUUUGAAGUUGGAAUUUUUAAUGGGAAAGGGGAUUUUUCAAUUUGGCAACAAAAGAUGAAGGGUAUUUUGGUCCAACAAAAAGUUUCAAAGGCCAUAGAUGGCAAAUUUCCUGGAAAUUUAACAGAAGUACAAAAAGAAGAGUAUGAUGAACUUGCAUACACUUCAAUUAUUUUAUACCUAUCUGAUACUGUUUUGAGAAAAGUAGGAAAAUUGGAUUCUACAAAACAACUUUGGGAAAAGUUGGAGGACUUAUAUUUGCUUAAGUCAACUCCUAAUAAAUUGUACUUGCUUGAACGAUUUUUCAACUUUAAAAUGGAUCCUUCAAAGGAUCUUGAUGAUAAUCUGGAUGUCUUUAACAAAUUAGUUCAAGACAUCGUUAACUGUGAUGAAGAGGUAUCUGAAACGUAUAAGGCUAUUAUCUUGCUUAAUUCCAUGCCUGAUUCAUAUAGGGAAGUUAAGAAUGCAAUUAAGUAUGGUAGGGAUACCUUAAGACCCGAGAUUGUCAUAGACUCACUUAGGAGUAAGGAGAUGGAGAUUAAGGCUGAAAAAGAGGAUAAGAGGAGUGGCGAGUGACAUAUGAUGAGGAGUAGGAUGAAGCUUAAGCAAAUGAAUUUGGGUAGAACUUAAGAUGGUAGUGAUUCGAGUAGUGACUCGAGUGAUGAGGGUAGUAAGAAGAAGGGCAAGGGACGAGACAAGUCUAGUGGUAAAAGGUGUUACAGUUGUGGUAAGUCUGGACACUUUAUUAGAGACUGUCCCAAGAAGAAAGAUAAGCUGAAGGGAAAGAUGAGACGUGAGACGAAUUUGGUUGAGGGGUCGAGUUAUGACCCCAGUGAGGUUUAUUGAGUGUAAACCUAGUCACUGCAUAUGCAUCUGUGUGUGAUCCUUUCUGCAUGUGUGUGAUUGUCUAAAUUUUGUUGCAUAAUUAUCUGCUACAUUUCAAUGUGUUUGAUAUGUGCAUUUGCAUGAAUUUAAGACAUUAGGAUUACUUGGUGUAAUUGCUUGCAUGCAUAGUGGGUUACGAUGCAUUAGCAGUGUGUUGUGUGUCUUUUGGUGAGGUGGAGUAUAGAUGCCUAAGGGUACAUGGUGGUUUGUACCGAGGGAUGUAGAGUGUGACAUUUGGAUCACGAGUGGAGAUGUGAUCAAAUGUCUAGAAUCCUUUAUCUGGAAAGAGACCCUGAUCAGGUGGAGUGUAAGAGAGACACUUCUAUCACUUCUAUUAGGUGGAGACCCAUUAUCCACGUAGGUUGGGAGAAGUGAUGUGGAGAUAGAGGAUUAUCCCGUGGACUUAGGAUCUAUUGUGACUCACCAGUUAGACAUGAGUUGAGUGAUCUGUCUAGUGAGCGUGGUGGGCGAUGAGAGGAGAUAUGUGUUCUCGAGGUGUGAGCAACACGGAAUGNNGUAGUUGCUCUUGAUUGUUCACUGUUAAAUAUUUGCUUCUACUUGGGUGUUUUUUGAACUUAGCCCCAGUGAGUACAUGGAGCAGGUAUGGUAUGUGUUUCAAGUUGGAAACACGAGGUAAGGUCUGUGAUCCAAUUUUAUUGGCUACCUUGAUUAUGCAAGUGUUAACUGUGUGUUUUGAUUGCUUGCAGAUUUAUUGGGCAUCAAGGUGGAGAUUUGUUGGGUUUUUGAUACCCAAUAAAUCCCGGGCUAUGAUGUUAACGUGGGUUAAUAUUAUUUCAUAGGCAUAGGCCGAUGAAUGAAAUAAGUCCAACAACCAAGUCCAUGAGCUACACCCGGCCCAAUUGUAUUCCUUAUGGAUGGCUUGAAUCUUGGCCCGCUUACCCCUUUAGUGGCCCAACUUAAAGCCUAACCCUAGAGUAUAUAUAUGAAUAUAACCCUAGCCUCUUUGUGAUGAUGAUUGUGUGAUUUUGAGAGAAGAAACUAGUGAAUCCCGGCUGCCCUCCUUAUGUGUGAGAAAAAGGUGUCCAAAAGUGUCCAAAACGCUUGUAUAACGUGUGCAAUUGGUAGUUCUUUCAUAGUAUACCUUUGUGGUGUCUUCUCCUAGCCUUUGUGGCGAUAAAUCAUCAUCCCUUCUUGUCCUACGUGGGUAAGAUUGUAUAGCAACCAAGGUGAAUCAAUUUGGUUGUGGUUUGGAGUCGUGUGGAUUGGUUGUUGGUAGAGAAAUGUACGUUGGACUGAGCCUG